AAUGCAGAAAUUCAGUGCCAUGCAGUCACCCGGAUAAAGCAGCACUUACCUUAAUUGAAAUUUUCUCUGUGAACGAGCCUAAUGGAUGAACUACAACUAUGAUUAUGAUUUGCAAGGAGAUUAGCUGCCGUGCUAGCCAUCGCAGGACUUAAACAAAUGUGCUUUCUCCUGCUGUUUUUCAAGGUGCCUUCGUGUAAGAUAUUAGGUACAGUGAAGCAAUUAAUAGACUGAUAGAGCUGAUUUGUAAGACAAGCUUAAAGCUGAAAAAUGUUUAAAGCGAUGUGAUCAAAGAGAUAGCUGCACUUGUCUCUGCCGCUCGCCUGCUACAUACUUCAACCUUUGUCGAACUAAAAUGAAUUUAAAGGUUUAUUACAGCCCUCCAGAGUGCAACUCUCUGAAUUUAUAAAAAGGAAGUAUUCAUACUAAAUAAGCAUAUUUGGCAGAUUGCUACAGACACAAGCACUCAAACCACGGCAUGAACACAGCCUUGCUUGUGUAGUUUUCCAAACGGCAUUUUCAAUUAGCAUUACACUUGCAAAAAAUGUUUGCAUUGUACCCUUAACCAGAGUAAUGUAGGAGAAUACAGCACUACACCUAACCGAAUCAUCUCUUUGAUUAUCUGUUGAAAUACUGAUUUCCUAAAACAAAAACAAGCAAGCAUAUGAGAGGAUCGAAAAUAUCUAACAACUUUUUAAACGUAGCUAUGUGCCGUUACCAACCUGCUGGUCCCCAUCCGUCAUCCGCUCUUUCUGCCACUGACCACCUUCUCAGCACUUCCUCAUCAAGUUCCUAGUUCCCUGAAGAGAUCUAACUCUCUGGAAAAGGUCACAUAACUGAAUGCCAAAGCCCCAAAUGGUUAAUUUUUGACAGCUCUCACUUUUGCAGGAUAAAAUUAUGCAAAUAACAUAAAAAGAACAGAUGAAAAAAGUAAUUUGCAUGUCUUGAGGGUGAGAAAAUUCUCAUUGCCAGAGAGAAAGCUGACGACUGUCCUCUCACAAUGAUCCUGAGUGAUAUGUUCAGCACUUUUGUUUUUUUCCAGUGGGUCUCACUUGGGACAUAUGGCAUUUCUUUGAUGUGUGUGUGCGUGUGUGUGUGGGUGCGUGUGCUUGCGUGUGUGUGUGAGAAAGAGAGAGAGGAAGAGCGAGAAGCUAUAUUUACAUUGUGAUAUUUAUAUAUAUCUUAGAAAACCCUCAAAUUUCAGUAGGCGAAUGCACUAAGUAUAAAUAAUAGAGAAUCCGUUUGCCUUAUACAUUCCCAAAUAUAUUUUUAAAGUAUCUCAUUAAAAUACAAGCUCUUGGUGAAACUUUUUGGACAAAGUAAAACUUCAGGGUAACUGAAUUGCUGUUACUAAGGCAGGUACUCAUCCUACUCUGAAAACGGAGACGGCCCUGCAGAAGCCCCAGGAGAUGGGGCUGUAGCCUCCCAUGCAGAGGUCUCUUGCUCCCUCAGCUGGUGGAGGGUGACAGCCGAAUGUGAAGAAACCCAGUCAACCACUUCAGGAGAGGGAGAACAAUUUUUGCUGCUGUAAAGCAGGAAACCCAUUAUCCAAUUUUAGAUUGGCAUGAGAGUGUUAUAGUAGAAAAGAGGCUGCUUACAUCGAAGUAAAUGCACCUUGAGCAUAAAUUGUAAAAAUAAGAAAAUGUAACUGCUAAUUUCUCCUGAGAGGGUUCCAACUAGUCUUUAACACAAUACUUGUAAAUAACAGUGGGAUAGAUUCCAGGGCUCUAAUGUGUAGUUGGUCAUGCAAUUAAAGCACUCCGUUUCUCGUAUUGGUCUAAGUCCCAUUCUGAGGAUCUUAAAUCGUGAACUAUUUUUAAAACUUAUUAAAACGUUAAGACAGGGCUUAUUUUCCUGAACCCUGCCAGCCAACCCACAAUCAUCAUCACCAACUAAAACAGGUGCACACGAAACUUUGUGCCAUAGUAGAUGGGUUCUAUCUGGAAACUCCAACUCCAUGAGACUGCCCUGAUGACAUUUCCAAAUAACCAGCCUUUCUGUUCUCAUAAAAUCCAGAGGUCUUUCAAAACCCUGAAUGGUUUCUAUAGAGAGUAUGAUGACUCUUCAGUAGUUUUUUUAACCUAUGUUGGAACACUAAUUGAUUUUAUGUGAAAGUACACACAUGAAGAACAAAGCAAAAUAAGACCAUUUUGUUGGAGGUGUGAGGGGAGACCGUAGUCACAUGAAAAUAACAGGUACUGUCUAUUACAUGCUUGCUAUGUAGUAAGUGACUGGCAUGCACUUCAGCUAUAGCUAUCCAUGAACCCCUUAGUCCAAUUCUAUUAAGCAGACAUUAUAAUAUUUUAUUUUUUAAUUAAUUAAGUUAGGGCUCUGAGAAGUUAAGCAAAUUUACCAAUGUUGCGUAGUCAGUACAGAAGAAACCCACCACUAAAAGUCAGGUUACUGUAACUAUAAAAUUAGCAAAUAUUUGGAAAUUCCCAAAUGUUAAAACUGAUCAAAACCCUUACUUCCAACAGAAUGGGAACAUUUUCUAGAUUUUAUGAUUAACAAAAAUCAUUUUCACAUCUUUAAAAACCAUUUUAUAACUGAUAAACUAUUGUAACAGUUCUGCUAUUAAAAGUUAUGUAUGAUUUAGCAGAAAAAAAAUUCACAAAAAAAACUUUAGGCUAAAAAAUAGAUUCCAUCCAGAGCUUCCAAAUAUAUAAUUCCAUUAGCACAAAUGACUCAAUUUCAAAUUUUUAAAAAUCCCUUCUGCAAUUCAUUUGCUCUCCCACUCAAAUAUAAUAAUUAUUGCUUUUUUAAAACAAGAAAAUAGCUCCACUCUAAGUAAACGAAUAUCUCAAGAACAGCCAUAAAAAUAUAUUAGACCAAAAUUAUGAUGAUUUUUACUAACCUAGUUCUCCAAGUGGCAUAAUGUAAUAGCAAAGCUCAAAUGUACUAGGGAGCUAAAGUUUAUCUCUGAUUUGUUCAUGCUUUAUCUACAGGUUUCUUAAAAGUCACAUGAAUCCUAUCAUUUCAUAUGGCUCUUUGAAAUUCUCAGACACAUCCAUAACUUUACAGAGAAGCAUUGUGACCACACUCUUUCAAGAAGUUUAAUGAAAUAAAUGAUGAUAACGCAAACUAAUGCAACAUUUAAACUUUGCCAAGAACUUAUUCUCUCAUUUGAUUCUUAUGGGAAUCUUGUGAAAUAGGUUACCAUAAGUAUUUUUCUCAUAUGUUAGUGAUGAGGAAUAAAAAGAGCAAGUGAUUGUCCUUUGGUGUUUGAUAGUGGAAAACCUAAUGUCUUCCUUUUUACGUAAGUCCUAUUGCUCCCCACUAUGUCGAACAAAUAUGUUUAUCUGAGUCAUCUUGUUGUCAAAAAGGAUCUUAAGUGGCUAUAUAAACAGAAGUCAGUCUUUCUUCA
rnacentral:lncRNA from 1 species